AAUGAACGCUGGCGGCAGGCCUAACACAUGCAAGUCGAACGGGUCCUUCGGGACUAGUGGCGGACGGGUGAGUAACGCGUGGGAACGUGCCCUUUGCUACGGAAUAGCCUCUGGAAACGGAGAGUAAUACCGUAUGUGCCCUUUGGGGGAAAGAUUUAUCGGCAAAGGAUCGGCCCGCGUUGGAUUAGGUAGUUGGUGGGGUAAUGGCCUACCAAGCCGACGAUCCAUAGCUGGUUUGAGAGGAUGAUCAGCCACACUGGGACUGAGACACGGCCCAGACUCCUACGGGAGGCAGCAGUGGGGAAUCUUAGACAAUGGGGGAAACCCUGAUCUAGCCAUGCCGCGUGAUCGAUGAAGGCCUUAGGGUUGUAAGGAUCUUUCAGGUGGGAAGAUAAUGACGGUACCACCAGAAGAAACCCCGGCUAACUCCGUGCCAGCCGCCGCGGUAAGAC
rnacentral:rRNA from 1 species